UCUAAGGCCGAUGGCGACCGGCGCACGGGUGAGUAACACGUAUCCAACCUGCCGAUAACUCGGGGAUAGCCUUUCGAAAGAAAGAUUAAUACCCGAUGGCAUAAUAGAACCGCAUGGUUUGAUUAUUAAAGAAUUUCGGUUAUCGAUGGGGAUGCGUUCCAUUAGGCAGUUGGUGGGGUAACGGCCCACCAAACCUUCGAUGGAUAGGGGUUCUGAGAGGAAGGUCCCCCACAUUGGAACUGAGACACGGUCCAAACUCCUACGGGAGGCAGCAUG
rnacentral:rRNA from 1 species